GAUGAACGCUGGCGGCGUGCCUAAUACAUGCAAGUCGAGCGAACAGACGAGGAGCUUGCUCCUCUGACGUUAGCGGCGGACGGGUGAGUAACACGUGGAUAACCUACCUAUAAGACUGGGAUAACUUCGGGAAACCGGAGCUAAUACCGGAUAAUAUAUUGAACCGCAUGGUUCAAUAGUGAAAGACGGUGUUGCUGUCACUUAUAGAUGGAUCCGCGCCGCAUUAGCUAGUUGGUAAGGUAACGGCUUACCAAGGCAACGAUGCGUAGCCGACCUGAGAGGGUGAUCGGCCACACUGGAACUGAGCCACGGUCCAGCCUCCUACGGGAGGCAGCAGUAGGGAAUCUUCCGCAAUGGGCGAAAGCCUGACGGAGCAACGCCGCGUGAGUGAUGAAGGUCUUCGGAUCGUAAAACUCUGUUAUUAGGGAAGAACAAAUGUGUACGUAACUAUGCACGUCUUGACGGUACCUAAUCAGAAAGCCACGGCUAACUACGUG
rnacentral:rRNA from 1 species